rnacentral:rRNA from 1 species
GCCUGCCCAGUGACUUUUUAAACGGCCGCGGUAUCCUAACCGUGCAAAGGUAGCAUAAUCACUUGUCCUUUAAAUAAGGACUAGCAUGAAUGGCUAAAUGAGGACUUAACUGUCUCUUACAGCCCGCCAAUGAAACUGAUUUCCCAGUACAAAAGCUGGAAUAAACACACAAGACGAGAAGACCCUGUGGAGCUUCAAAUCAAACCCACCAACCAUGGUUCUAGAUUUUCAGUUGGGGCGACUUUGGAGCAUAAAAAACCCUCCAAACAUGUAUUACUUAAUUUUAUCAAGACCUACAUACCAAAACACAACAAAAGACCCAGCAACAUCUCAAUGUUGUCUGAUAAAUGAACCAAGUUACCCCAGGGAUAACAGCGCCAUCCCCUUCUAGAGUCCCUAUCGACAAGGGGGUUUACGACCUCGAUGUUGGAUCAGGACACCCCAAUGGUGCAGCCGCCAUUAAAGGUUCGUUUGUUCAACGAUUAAAGUCCAACGUGAU